rnacentral:lncRNA from 1 species
CCAUCAAAGUAGCUACCAAAGCUGUUCUUCACGAAGAACAGUUCGAGGUGCCUACUUUGGACCUCUAUAACUUGAUGAUCGUGCAACGUUUACGUGAUCUAUCAAUUCCAGUGUGUAGAAAACAUGUAGGACUACAAUUCUAACACUUAACAUCAUCAUAAAAACAAGAAAUCAAGCAGAUCAAGUAUGGUCAAACCUUGUUAGAAAAAUUAACACUUAGAAAAUUCUGGGCUGCCCAGAAUUUUCUGGUCAAUGCCGGUCAACCCACUUUGACCUUAAAUAAAUCUUAAUCCGUAAUAUAUAUGGACCUGAUUCUUUUCGGAGGUUAAAUACCACAUAACAAGCUACACAUAUCAACCUUUAGAACACAAAACACAUUACAGAUGACCGAGAUAUAAGGCCUGAUAUUUUCCAAAAAAACAUUUCUGGACACUUAGAAUAUUUUCUGGGUUUGAAAAACAGCCGGUCAAUGCCGGUCAACCCAUUUUGACCGCUUAUAAAUCCCGAUCUACAAUAGAUAUGAACUUGAUUCCUUUUGGAGAUUAAAGAACUCAUAUCAGGCUACCUAUAACAACUUUUAAACAACCAAACGCGUGAUCGACCAAAGAGUUAUAGCCUCUGACAUUUGGUGAAAAAUAACAGAAUUCGGUUUUUCCAACUUGUUUAAAUCUUCAAAUUCGUGCACUUUGAUGUUAUGGGUUCAUGAUUUUACAACCCAGAACAUUAAUAGACUCUCUAUUACACUACUUUAAACAAUCAAUUGCAUCAAUUAACAUCGAAUCGAAGGAUUUCUAGAAUUUAGGAUUUCCUACCUUUUCAAGCUUGAUUUUUGAUUUCUGGCUUCUUGAUGCUUCUGAUUUGUUGUUUG